rnacentral:rRNA from 1 species
AGACGUCUACAUUAGAUACCCGCGUAGUCCCAGCCGUAAACUAUGCGCGUUAGGUGUAUCGGUGACCACGAGUCACCGAGGUGCCGAAGGGAAACCGUGAAACGUGCCGCCUGGGAGGUACGGUCGCAAGGCUGAAACUUAAAGGAAUUGGCGGGGAGCACCACAACAGGUGGAGCCUGCGGUUUAAUUGGACUCAACGCCGGGAAGCUCACCGGAUAGGACAGCAGAAUGAUUGCCGGGCUGAAGACCCUGCAUGACUAGCUG